CCUACGGGCGGCAGCAGUGAGGAAUAUUGGUCAAUGGACGUGAGCCUGAACCAGCCAAGUCGCGUGAAGGAUGACUGCCCUAUGGGUUGUAAACUUCUUUUAUAAAGGAAUAAAGUGAGGCACGUGUGCCGUUUUGCAUGUACUUUAUGAAUAAGGAUCGGCUAACUCCGUGCCAGCAGCCGCGGUAAUACGGAGGAUCCGAGCGUUAUCCGGAUUUAUUGGGUUUAAAGGGUGCGUAGGUGGGUUGUUAAGUCAGUUGUGAAAGUUUGCGGCUCAACCAUAAAAUUGCAAUUGAUACUGGCAGGCUUGAGUACAGUUGAGGUAGGCGGAAUUCGUGGUGUAGCGGUGAAAUGCUUAGAUAUCACGCAGAACCCCGAUUGCGAAGGCAGCUUGCUAAGCUAUGACUGACGUUGAUGCACGAAAGUGUGGGUAUCAAACAGGAUUAGAUACCCGUGUAGUC
rnacentral:rRNA from 1 species